UUUCCGUAGGUGAACCUGCGGAAGGAUCAUUGUCGUUGGCUUGCUAAAACACGACCGUUGCGCACGUGAUCGAAUGCUGCCGGGGAGGCAUUGCCCCCUCGGCCCACCGGCCUCGGCCCUCCCGCCCUCCGGGCGUGUUGGUCGUGUGCCGAAUACGGCGCGGAUUGACGCCAAGGAACACAAGAUGCUGAGGUGGUUGGCGGAGCGCUAGUCGUGCCGCACGCCGCCGAUGCAAAGGAACUUUUGAUGACUCUCGGCAACGGAUAUCUCGGCUCUCGCAUCGAUGAAGAACGUAGCGAAAUGCGAUACGUGGUGUGAAUUGCAGAAUCCCGCGAACCAUCGAGUCUUUGAACGCAAGUUGCGCCCGAGGGAUCCGCCCGAGGGCACGCCUGCCUCAUGGGCGUUAGAAAGCCCAUACACGCUCGGGUUCUGACCCGAUGCGGAUCCUGGCCCCCCGAGCCCGAGGGCGCGGUGGGCCUAAGUGUGCGGCCAUCGGAUAGGGCCGGAGCGGCGAGUGGUGGGAUGCUGCGCACGCCGCCCCGUGCCUCUUACCGACAGAAGGCUUUGUUCGACCCCUGAACGAGGAGCCGACUGACGCAGCGUCCUGCUGUGCGGCAUCUUCGGACCGAUACCCCAGGUCAGGCGGGGCUACCCGCCGAGUUUAAGCAUAUAAAUAAGC
rnacentral:rRNA from 1 species